rnacentral:rRNA from 1 species
UGACUNGAGUGCAGAAGGGGAGAGUGGAAUUCCAUGUGUAGCGGUGAAAUGCGUAGAUAUAUGGAGGAACACCAGUGGCGAAAGCGGCUNUCUGGUCUGUCACUGACGCUGAGGCUCGAAAGCGUGGGUAGCGAACAGGAUUAGAUACCCUGGUAGUCCACGCCGUAAACGAUGAGUGCUAGGUGUUAGGCCCUUUCCGGGGCUUAGUGCCGGAGCUAACGCAAUAAGCANUCCGCCUGGGGAGUACGACCGCAAGGUUGAAACUCAAAGGAAUUGACGGGGGCCCGCACAAGCGGUGGAGCAUGUGGUUUAAUUCGAAGCAACGCGAAGAACCUUACCAGGUCUUGACAUCCCGAUGCUAUUCUUAGAGAUAGGAAGUUACUUCGGUACAUCGGAGACAGGUGGUGCAUGGUUGUCGUCAGCUCGUGUCGUGAGAUGUUGGGUUAAGUCCCGCAACGAGCGCAACCCUUAUUGUCAGUUGCCAUCAUUAAGUUGGGCACUCUAGCGAGACUGCCGGUAAUAAACCGGAGGAAGGUGGGGAUGACGUCAAAUCAUCAUGCCCCUUAUGACCUGGGCUACACACGUGCUACAAUGGUCGGUACAACGAGUCGCGAGCCGGUGACGGCAAGCUAAUCUCUGAAAGCCGAUCUCAGUUCGGAUUGGAGGCUGCAACUCGCCUCCAUGAAGUCGGAAUCGCUAGUAAUCGCGGAUCAGCACGCCGCGGUGAAUACGUUCCCGGGCCUUGUNCAC